UUCUCUUUCUGGUUCAGAUCGGUUAAAUAAUAAUUUACAUAUCUUAAGAUUCACCUUUUUUAGAUGUACAGUGCUAUGAGGUUGAUAAAUGUAUACAGUUCUGGAACCAAUACCACAAAUAAGAUAUGGAAUGUUCAUUUCAUCUCAAAAAAUUUGUUCAUGUGGAUUUGUAUGGUUCUCCUCACAAUCACUGAUCUCGUUUCUGUCCCAUUAUUUUUUCAGAAUGUCAUAUCAAUGCAAUGAGACAGUAGAGAGUCUUUUCUUGUAUAGCUUCUUUCACAAGAAUACUGUCUUGGGAUUUAUCCACAUAAUUAAAUCUAUCAGAAGUGUGUUUCUUUUUAUCACUGAUAAAUAUUUCAUCUUAUGGAAAUACAAGUAUUUUUAGGUAUUCAUCACUUGAUAUGUACUUAAUUUAUUUUCAUGUUUUUGGCAAUGUAUUUAUCAGGAUCCCAUCAGAAGAGAUGGAGUUUCAAUAACUGAAUAACAGAUUUCAGAAAAAUUAUGAAAAAAAAUUAUAGACAUGUUAAUAUAAAAAGUAUAAUUUUAGUGCAUCGGUUUCUAGUUCAAGGGGUCAUAAAAUCUCAACCAGAUUUUAAUAAACUAUGAUAACAGCCUUCAGAUGGAAAGCAGGUCACAUAAAAAAAAACUGGGAAUUAGAAUGGCAUGGUAAUUCUCACAGGAAGCACUAACUACAGAGUCUGAGUAAAAAUAUUUUUCACCCAUCCUAUACUCAUACAUCUUAGAAAAUACAGCAUCAUAAAUGGAAUAUUGGUAGAAAUACGAGCAUUAAAGGCAUGCCUAGUGAGGGUUCAUAAAGAAAUGAGGAAAAUGCUUAUUAGAAAGUGGAGGAAAAGUAAUCGUUAUUAUGUAGUAGCAGAAAGCUUGGCGGAAUUGUGUCCUACAGUUAGUUAUGUGGAAAGCAGAACCUAUAGGAAAUGAACUUUAAUAUCUAGCUGAGGGGAUUUCCAAGCAAUGUGCUGAAGGUAGAGCCUUGUUUCUUCCCAUUGCUUACAGUGAAAUGUGAGAAAAGAGAGAGAUUGACGGAAGCGGUGUUAGGAAAAAGGGAAACAGGACCUGAUGACUUGGGAAAUUCUCAGCCAAUCCAGAUUGCAAAGGCACUAAAAUUAGGAGAUUCAUAAUCAAGAAAGCCUGUUCUGGACAGAAAGCCAAGGUGUGGCUGGACAACCUUUUGCUAGUACUUUGGAAGGAUCAAAGGAUCAGAGUAUUCAAUUACACACAUGGCCUUUUGAAAGGAUUAGAGCAGUGAAUCAUGGUUCCCCUCAGCCCUCCAAGCAGAAGCCAGGAAUAGAGAUGGUAUUAUAAAAAAAAGAUUUGUGGAUGAGCCUCUUGUCUAGUGGAGAGAAUCCCUGAAACAUACAGGGAAUAUUUGCAAGAUUCUUAAGAAUGUUGUGCCAACAGACAUACUCAAUGUCAGCUUGAACUAAAAGGGAGACAGAACAAAAGGAGGGAAGGCUAUUGAAUUCUCCAAAUUCUACAUGUAGAAAACAAAUUGAUAAAACUACUCAGCUGCAAACAUGUAGAGUCUCUACAAUAGCAGCAGAGCCAGGAAACACAGAGAAUGAUUCUCAAGCUUUGAAACCUAAUGUUGAAUGCAAAAACAGAUUUUGAAAUUGCUCACCUCUGGUGAUUCCUUUUGUGAACUGGAUAUCUAUUAGUGUUAUCUGAUCCCUAUCUCACCAUAGUAUUUUAGGAGGCAAUAUCAUGUUUUAUAGUUUCACAGAUCUCCCAACGGAGAAUAAUUUUGCCCCAGAGUGGAUAAUAGUGAACGCCCUAACCAUGACUAAUUUAGAUAAAUUAGAUUACAAGAUUUGGGCCUUCCAUGAUAAUGAGACCUAUAUCCUAAUUUCUGGAACCUGUGAAUAUGUUGUGUGUAAAGUACGAGACUCUGGGGAUAUUAAGUUAAGGAUCUGGAGAUGGAGAGAUUAUUCUGGAUUAUUUGGGUAGACCCAAUGUAAUCAUGAAGGUCCUACAAAAGGGAGGCAGGGGUGUAAGAAUCAGAAAAGACCAUGUGAUUGAAGAUUGGAACUGAAAGAGAGAGAGUGAUUAGCAGAUAUUUGCUGUUGGCUUUGAAGAUAUAAGAUAGGCCACUUCUACAAGUCAAGGAUGCAGAAAGUAUCUAGAAGCUAGAAAAGGCAAGGAAACAAAUUUUUCUGUAAAACCUUUAAAAGGAAUGCAGUUCUAUUGAUCAAUUUUAGACUUCUAACCUCCAGAACUGCAUGAUAAUGCAUUUGUAUUAUUUUAAGACGUUAAGUUGUGGCUUCCCCUUCCUAACUCCACCCGUACUACCACAGCCACCUUGUCCCUCUCCCAUUCUCCUACCUUAGGGUAGAAGGAAUAGAGGAAAAAUAAACAGAAACCAGAAAUUGUAAUGCAAUAUGAAAGAUGUGUUUUAUGGAGUUUUCAGAAACUUGAAACAAUUCAAUAGAGGGGUUUAUCAGAGUUCUUAGAUUGGGGCCCCAUUGGUGUCUUUCCUUCAUAGGAUAGAUGUAAACAGGGUGGACACUGGACCACACGGCAGUGUAUUAAACUGGUGAGUGUCGUUCGGGGGCUCUAUGUCCCAUUCUGCAAUGUAAGGAACCGCCAUGUAAGUAGAAGGUUAAGUAAUGCUGUCGGGUUUACCAGUCUGGCUAAAAGUCACAGUAGGAGAUCCAGACACAGGUAUCCUUCUGGAAAAUACUUGAAGAGGAGGCUUUCUCAAAGCAAAAGUCUCCAGGCCAAUACAAAGAAAUUUGUAUUGUUUUAAAUCAUCAACUUUGUGGUAAUAUUUUACAAUAGCAGUAGGGUGCUAAUAUAUCAUCCAUACUAUUAAUCAAGGGUGAAAGCAACAUAAAAUUACCCUCAGAUAUAGCUAGAUCCCAAAAUUCAUUUUAUGUACUCUUUUUCUAGGAGGAUCUUGAAGGACGUGUCUUCCAAACAGAGUAUAGUUCCAAAGAAGACAUGGUAUCCCAGCAACCAAAUGUACAACACAGGAGACAGAUGAAUUUCUCAUUCUUGUAGGCUACCAUUUCUUUUGGCUUAUUACAAAACAACAGGAUGCUGCAGCUUUAUCAAAGUCUACUUAUUUGUCCACUAAAAGUUUAUGGCUAUACGUUUCCAACUAGAACAUCUGAACACCAAUAUAUGGAAUUCUGACAAAGUUAAAACCAGGAAGAGAUCCUAUGAAGGCUGACAUUUUGUACAUCUGUUUUAUAGAACAAUAAAAAUAAGAAGAACAAGAAUAAGAACAGCAACAACAUUUGCAGCCACUGUCUAGACCACAGGAAACCUGGUCAACAACAUAUGGGAUGUCACCAGAUUCAGACUCAGAAGUUUCCAUAAUGCCGUUGCCAACAGCUAGACACAGUAUAUGAUCAAUUCUCACCAAUACCACCAAUAUCACCAAUAGAUAAUGAGGACUGGAACUCUUUAUCUCUAAAAGAUGACCUGAAACACUAUGGAAAAGGAAGAUGCAUUACAACACACUAUCAAAGCAUCAUUUUCAGAUACACUGAGUCCAUCUUCUCAUGGACAUGAUGACAUAGAUGAAGAAACGGCUAUAUAGAGAGAUAAAGAAGCUUGCUCAAGGAUACACAGCCAGAAAGCAAAAGAGUUGGAGUUUGAACUUCGACAGUCUAACUCGAGGUUCUUUCUCUGUGUUUAAUCAGUCAACCACACUGCCUCUUCAGAAGCACGCAUAAUGUAUGCUCUAAAAAGUAAUGUCAAUGUAUUAGGUGUCAAACAGUAAAUGAAAUUUCUCAGAAUACUGCUCUCUACCAUAUCAAUAGUAGAUUUAAUACAACCACCAGGCAAAUCAAGCUAAGAAACUCAGCCCUGGAGAUCAGACCAAACUGGUGGCCAGCCAAGAAAUAGACAAAGGAAUGUUCAGGGGCAGAGUUUAGGGAGGUUGGAGUGUGUGUUCACAGGGGCAGAGGGAGUAAGGGGUGAUGUGCGGUCAAGGUUUACAGGUUAGGGCAUGGAUCAUAGAGGUGAUACCAGGGAAGGGAGUACAGGAAAUAAUCCCAUCCAAGUAAGAAAUCAUCAGAUGCAUGGUUCCGUUUUUAAGCUGCCAAAAUUAAGAAGGUGGGCAUGAAUUUGCACAGGACUGUGGAAAACAGAAGUUUCUGGGUCUGGCUUGGGAUUUUACACAGCUGCAUUAUGGGGGUAUCACUAUAUGAUUUCUAAGCAAAGAUCUCUUGGUUUGAGAAGCUUUCAUGGACAGAGAGACUGCUCAUAUCCCCAGAAUGGGGCAGGGAUAAAUGGGAGAGAGAUGGCAGAGAAGUUAUCACUAAUGAAGCGUCCCAGGUAUUCUGUUGUAUGUCUAGAGGUGAAAAUAGAAAGCUCUGCUCCUUAAAAGCUAUGAGAACUUAAGAAAGUUCAUGACCAUUUGUAAGCUAGGGUUAUUAAGAGGGUCUGUUUUAUAUGGAUCAAUUAAGUAACAAACACCUUUUGAAAUAUAAGUUGAACACAGCUUUUUUAGAAAUUUGUAAACUUUAUUUUGAUAAGCCAAAACACAUAUAAAUAUUCAUAUUCCUCUCCUCACAUUUUUAUAAGAAUUCAAGCUAGAAAAAAUUAACUAUGUUGAUAGGCUUAGAGAAAAAUUAGGUGUCAGUGUCCCACAGAAUUCUCUCCGUCUAUUAGUUACAAUGAAUCUUAACAGUUUAUUUUUUAAUAAGUGGAAUAUGUUAAUCAAUUAACUGAGCUAAAGCUAUUACCUAAUGAGGUAGAAGGGUAAAUUAACUGAAAUGUGACUGGCAUUCUUCAAUAUAAGAAAGACACUAUUAGCCUGGGAAUCACGUGGAUAUUCUGUGGAUUCACAGACACAUUAGUCCAUGUGCCUUCAGUACAGCUUUACAUGCAGCUUGUUCUAAAAUCUCAAGUUAGCAAGUUUCUGUAUUCCUAAAAGGUAAUAAUUAGAACCAGAGUAUCUGGGGAAGUCGCCACACAGCAAUAAAUAUUGGGUCUCUAGAGCCAAGUCUUAACAUUUUGUUUUCUUAAUAGCUUAAAUUAUUUAUGAACAUGUGUUUGAACAAUUCUUAAAUCCAGUAGCUAAAUUGAGUUGCAUAUAGGCCUAGAAGGGUCUAGGCUAGGGCCGUUCUGUGGAAAAUCUGUUAAGUCAGGAAGCAGAAAUAAUUCUGCUUAAUCUUUGAUUGUCAACCAUAGUGGGGGAUGGUAAGAAUAAUGGGAGACUUUAUAUAAAGGCAGCUGCUUAUAAUUGAGGCAUUGUCAGCUGACCACAAACAUUUGUUUCCACUGAGAUAUUCCUAAUGAGUGCUACUGUUGAAGGCAAUGCAUUAAUAUUUAUGUGAUUAUUGUUUUAUAUCUAAGAAGGGAUCAAGAGGGUAAUCAAAUAUUCAUGUUACCAGGCAAGCAAUGGGCUCACUGCCUGAUGAGCAUAGAAAUCAAUACCAUGGCACCAGCUUUUGAGAAAAUAAAAGCUUUAUUGCAAGUGAUUGGCAAGGAGACAAGAGGCAACACAAAUAUGUCUCCCAGUGCUGGGGGCUGGGGCAAAUUUUAUAGGCAGAGGGUAAUGAUAUGAUUGGAUCUGGCAAUGAGAAAUGCUGUGAGGCAUGAUCGGACUGGAUUGUGCCAUGAAAUGAUGCCAGGGCUUGAUCUGAUUGGAUCGUAUAUCAAGACAUGAGGUGUCCACUUAUUAAUUCAGUCCCCCAUUUCUUGGUCUGAGCACUUAGGUUCCACCCAUGCUUGCAGGCUUAGAUAAUCUGGACAUGCUCAGGUUGCAUAACUUGCAACCUAGGGAAUCCAUGGCAACUGAAAACUCACCAUUUUAUUACACAAAGUUGAGUCAGAUUAGGCUGGUUCUGUGGUUACAAUAAUCUACCACAGAGUUUUUUAAGAUUUAACUUCAAAUAUCCUGCAUCAGAACCAUCUGGAAAACUUGAGAAUCAUCGCAGAAUGUACAAAAUGUUUGCUAGUGUAGCCCGGUAAUAUUCAUGUUUUAUUCUUUCUGGGCCUCUGCCAAUGCUUUCUGAGAAUAUUCCUGAGAAUCAUCCACUUUGUAGCUACUCAUAAAUAUGAUGUUUGGUGACAGAUCGCCUUCACUUCCCCAGUACUUCCAACACUUGUGAGUGCCUUUACUUCACUGUAUUAUAUCUCUUCCUACUCAAAAUACACAGAAUGCCUUCUGCUUUCCAGACUGAAUCCAAACUGAUAUGCUCAGGUGAUAGAGAAAAGACACUGAAAUUAAAAAUGUGACUUCCGUUUUACUAUUGCUAAUAAUGAAGCGUCCUUUUACUCUUUUAUAGUAGGUGAUCUCCCACCAGAGUGUACCAACAAGUGGAUCGGUCAAGAUAAAUCAUUACAGUGUGUCGAGAAACUAUUAGAACACCUAUUUAAAGGCAGUCUUAAUUUUUCUUAAGUUCUAAAAGCAUAAAUGAAUGUCAAUAUUUAUAUGUGUAAGCUGUUAAAAAUUACAACAAAUACUCUAAUGCUUAUCAACAACCCUGGUAACUAAAACAUCAGCAAUAUUUCUGAGUUUCUCUUCAAAUUCAUCUUCUCUUUUCUGCUGUUUGUCUCUUUCCCAAAGUAUACAUUGGUAAUAAAACUGAAAUUUUGGUCUUCAUUUCUUUACUCCAUUUGCAACUUGCUUUUAUAUUAACUAACACAAGGAUUUUCAGAUUUAAUUUAUGUAACUUCUCUAGUAGCUACAGUUCACCCUUUUUUACUACAGAAAAGUUUUGUAUUAUGAGAAUGUAACACAAUAUGUUAAUUUAUUUUUCUCCCUGUAAUUAUUAUGAUUCUUUUUUCGGUACUUUUGUUCGUUCGUUUGUCUCAUUUGUUUUGCCAGUAUACACAGUGCCACUGUUAUAAGCAUUCAAUAUUUGUUAUGUAACUACUGGCAAACAUAGGUCAAUGUUUCCAUAUAUAUUCUCUCAGGAGAUUUCUGUCUUGUUGGGUCUUCACAUUCUCAGCUUCAUUAGAUAAUGCCAAAUUGCUUUUCAAAAUAUUCCCACUAGUGUAGAGUCUAUCGGGUUUGUAUGAGUUCCCGUUAUUCUACAUCCUUGCCAAAGCUUCAUGUUUUGGGACUUGUUAAUUUUUGCCAAUCUGGUGGGUGUAAAAUGGUAUCUCAUUGUGGCUUUAAUUGGAAUUUCCCUGAUUACAAAAGCGGUUAAACUCCUUUUACAGAAUUAAGAGCUAUUCAUCAAAAUGCCCGUUUGUGCAUAUUGCCAAUUAGUAUGCUGAGUUAUUUAUCUUUUUCUUACUAAUUUGUGGGAGGUUUUCAUAUGUUCUGGAGAGUAAUCCUUUGUUCAUUACACAUUUGUUGAACCAGUCUGCAUUGUUUCUCUUUGCAUUUUUUGUAUUUAUUGCUACACAGAAAUUAUUAACUUUUUUCUCA
rnacentral:lncRNA from 1 species